rnacentral:lncRNA from 1 species
GCUGGUUGUAUAUUAUUUGCUAAAAGCGUUUGCCCUCAGGAUAAACCUUGCAAAGUUGCUUUAAAAAAGUUAUUUGCUUGAUAAUUAAGUCCUGAAACCCAUCGUUUAAUGAUUAUUCUGGACCCAUAAGGCAGAGAACGUCCAUGACGUUUUUUCCCUAAGUUUAAUUACCGUAUGCUAAUUUCCUUGCCUACUACGUGAUUAAUUAAAAUCAUAUUUUCAUAAUCAUUUGGCACUAGUAUUGUUUUAGAAUUAUCAUGAUCCCCUAAAUAGUGUCUGUAAAUAAAGUCGGCUCUCAUGGAAAGAGAAUGGGAAGGCGAUGCUGAAGACCUUUAUGUGUUUGUAUCUAUGCGAUUGGUAACAUAACUGGCUUAUUUACAUUAAAUACGCCACAAGGUUAGAGCGCAGAUCAACGUCACUUUAUCGCUGAUUACUUCUCUUAAACGCCGGAGCUGUGACUGAUGCUGCACGUCCCGCUGUCCACCAAGAUUCACCGGGGAGUUUUUUUUUUUUUUAAAAAGAGACAGACUUUAAAUAGUUUCAGGAGCAGGUCUUAUUUUUACAGUUCCUGACCAUCAGUCUCUACCCUACAUCUUUAAGAAAUUCCCUCAAUCAAGAGCGAGGUCCGUUGCUUUAAGGAUAACCUGGUAAGAAACAUCCAAUUCAUGGCAUAUUAAAAUGCUAUCUGUUUAUGGGUCUGUAUGGGUAAACCAAACUGCUA